UAUGAUUGGAAAAAGCAAAACAGAAAACUAAUACCAUACUAUUACGUUAUGGACAGGAUCAGAGCCUGACACAACAUGUGUUUUAAAUAACUAUUAUAUUAAAUCUUAUAACAAUAAAAUCUUAUAUUAUUUCAUAUAUUUUGUUAACAUCUGGAUCUUAUUUCUAAACCUUUAAUAAUGUAGUUUCCUAGGCACAUGAGAGUUGGUAAAUGCUAAUUUGUGCAUGAACAGCCAGAAAUAUUUUUUAUCAUUAGGUAGUUCUUUAAAAUUAGUACAAAAAGUGAUAAUUUUAUCAAAUAAUAAUUUCCUCUGUUCAUUAUAUAAUGGACAAUUUACUGUAAAAUGGGUCUCAUCUUCAAUAGAACUUGAUCCCUGUGAUAAGCAGUGAUGACAUAGACGUUGAGUUCUCUCUAUGCAUUUUUUACUAUAUCUAUCUUUCCCAAUUCUAAGAUCAUGAGCACUUAUUCUUAUUUUACAUAUAGCUCUUCUUAUACUAAAAUCUUUAAUUGAUAGAUAAGCCUCCUUUACAAAGUCAGACUUGAGGUGAAAUUAAUUUUCUAAUUUACUAUUACCUUGUGAUAACGUUUCAGAUCUUUUGAACAACCAAAAUGUUUUAAAACUAUUACAAAGUUUACAUUUUACAAAUUUAAUUAAUUUAUUGAGCUUUGUAUCUAAAUUUUGUAUAUCAAGUGAUUGAAGUACAUAUCUCAAAGAUGAAUACCAACAAUUAAUGUUUUCUGCAUCUAAAAUUUUGUUACAAACAUAAGCAUCAUAAAGUAACCCUUUGUCCAAUUUGUUAA
rnacentral:lncRNA from 1 species